GGACUACCAGGGUAUCUAAUCCCGUUUGCUCCCCUAGCUUUCGCGCCACAGCGUCAGUCGCAGGCCAGGAAGCCGCCUUCGCCACUGGUGUUCCUCCGGGUCUCUACGCAUUUCACCGCUACUCCCGGAGUUCCACUUCCCUCUCCUGCACUCAUAAGCCCGUCCGUUACCGAUGACCCUCCCCAGUUGAGCCGGGGGCUUUCACACCGGUCGUAGCGGGCCGCCUACGCGCGCUUUACGCCCAGUAAUUCCGGACAACGCUCGCCUCCUACGUAUUACCGCGGCUGCUGGCAC
rnacentral:rRNA from 1 species